AAGUUGUUGCAGUUAAAAAGCUCGUAGUUGGACUUUGGGCCGGGUCGGCCGGUCCGCCUCACGGCGAGUACCGAUCUACUCAACUCUUCGGCCGGCAUCGCGCUCUUAGCCUUAAUUGGUCGGGUCGUGUUUCCGGCAUCGUUACUUUGAAGAAAUAUCAUAGGAUUCCGGUUCUAUUGUGUUGGCCUUCAGGAUCGGAGUAAUGAUUAAUAGGGAUAGUCAGGGGCAUUCGUAUUUCAUAGUCAGAGGUGAAAUUCUUGAAUUUAUGAAAGACGAACAACUACAAAGCAUUUGCCAAGGAUGUUUUCAUUAAUCAAGAACGAAAGUUGGGGGCUCGAAGACGAUCAGAUACCGUCCUAGUCUCAACCAUAAACGAUGCCGACCAGGGAUCGGCGGAUGUUGCUUAUAGGACUCCGCCGGCACCUUAUGAGAAAUCAAAGUCUUUGGGUUCCG
rnacentral:ncRNA from 1 species